UGAUGGAAGAUGGAAGCCGUGGUUCUGGCUUUUCCAAAAGAACUCUGUGCUGCCUUAAAUUUGCUUUACCUGUAAGGACAAGUUGCUACCAGGACUUCAGCAGAGCUGAAAAUCUACCAGGAUCAGGCCCGGAUUAUGUAACGUUCAGUGAAUCCGAGUUCCUAGACCUGCUGGAAGAGCGUUCCUCUGCGGUAACCAGCCCCUACCACUGGCUGCUCACAGAAAUAACCAAGUCCAUUGGCUCCUGUUGGCUCGACGAAGGACUCAUACAUCAAUUUAGUACAGUGGUACUGAGAUGGAUUUAUGCUAAAACAAGAAUAAGUUUAUGAAUAAAGAACAACAAUUGAAAGGAUGCAAAGCAGAGAGAAUAGAAACAGAAAAUGGUUACAAAUAAAACACCCUUUCUAGUGUCUAAAAUUGAACAGAUUA